GUGGAUAAAGAGGAGAACAGUAACAAAAAGCAGGUUAUAGUCCUUCUCCAAUGGAACUUUAAAAUUUAUAGUUCAUCAAACCAAAAUAACCAAAUAGUUCAGGUCAGUCAAGACAGAGCCCCUCUCGUAAGGCCUAGUUGCCGCGAAUAAUCAGCAGUUAUAAAGCUUUCCUAGCACUUUCUCAUUUAAGCUACAAAUUGUGCUAAGGGCUAAAUUUCAUAUUUUGGCAAACAAAUGCUUCUACAAAUUUACACAAGUAUGUGACAUUAUUUUGAAGUUGCAGUAUUAGACAUCUACCUGGAACUAGUAAACUACCAAAGAACUUUUUACAUUUAAUUGUUAAGAACUUUUUUUCCAACAUGAACGAGUCUAAG
rnacentral:misc_RNA from 1 species